UUUAAUUAUAGUAAAUAUUUUAAAUUUUAUUUGAUUUUCAUAAUUAAUUUUAAAAUUAUUGGCGGUAUUAAAUUAAAUUCUGAGGAACUUGUUUAUUUAAAUUGAUAAUACUCAAUAAAUUUUAUCUAUUAUAAUAUUUUAUGUAUUGCUGUUUUAUUUAUUUGUUAUUAAAGAAAAAUAAAUUAAAUUAAUAAAAAAAAAUUUUUUUAAAAUAAGAAGAUCAAGUCAAAAUGUAGAUUUUUUUAGGGUUAAAUGAGUUACUUUAUUUUGAAAAGUGAAGCUGUAAAAAAAAAUGAAAUAUUUUUUGAUAAAAGGUUGGAUUAGGGAGUAAAGAAAAAUUAGUAUGUUUUUUUGAUAUUUUUAUUAAUAUGUACAUAUCGCCCGUCGCUUAAAAAUAUUUAAAUUUUUA
rnacentral:rRNA from 1 species